rnacentral:rRNA from 1 species
UACGUAUGGGGCGAGCGUUGUUCGGAGUUAUUGGGCGUAAAGGGCGUGUAGGCGGCCCGACAAGUCUGGUGUGAAAUCGCAGGGCUCAACCCUGCGGGUGCGCUGGAAACUGUCGGGCUCGAGUCCCGGGGGGGAAGCUGGAAUUCCUGGUGUAGGAGUGAAAUCUGUAGAGAUCAGGAAGAACACCGGUGGCGAAGGCGAGCUUCUAUUCGAGGACUGACGCUGAGGCGCGAAAGCGUGGGGAGCAAACAGG